rnacentral:rRNA from 1 species
AUUGAACGCUGGCGGCAUGCCUUACACAUGCAAGUCGAACGGUAACAGGUCUUCGGACGCUGACGAGUGGCGAACGGGUGAGUAAUACAUCGGAACGUGCCCGAUCGUGGGGGAUAACGGAGCGAAAGCUUUGCUAAUACCGCAUGCGAUCUACGGAUGAAAGCAGGGGACCGCAAGGCCUUGCGCGGACGGAGUGGCCGAUGGCAGAUUAGGUAGUUGGUGGGAUAAAAGCUUACCAAGCCGACGAUCUGUAGCUGGUCUGAGAGGACGACCAGCCACACUGGGACUGAGACACGGCCCAGACUCCUACGGGAGGCAGCAGUGGGGAAUUUUGGACAAUGGGCGAAAGCCUGAUCCAGCCAUGCCGCGUGCAGGAUGAAGGCCUUCGGGUUGUAAACUGCCUUUGUACGGAACGAAAAGACUCCUUCUAAUAAAGGGGGUCCAUGACGGUACCGUAAGAAUAAGCACCGGCUAACUACGUGCCAGCCGCCGCGGUAAGAC